UGGGAGAAUGAUACACAAAUUGGGCAGAGGUACUGCUCUAAUUGUCACUAGACCUCCCUAGAAUAAAUUGCCUUUCGAUGACCAGGACGAAUUGAGUGAAAUCGUCAUGGACAGAUACGGGGCAGACAAAU
ensembl:scaRNA small Cajal body-specific RNA 8